CAGUAGCCGCGGUAAUACGAAGGGGGCUAGCGUUGUUCGGAUUUACUGGGCGUAAAGCGCACGUAGGCGGAUCGAUCAGUCAGGGGUGAAAUCCCAGAGCUCAACUCUGGAACUGCCUUUGAUACUGUCGAUCUGGAGUAUGGAAGAGGUGAGUGGAAUUCCGAGUGUAGAGGUGAAAUUCGUAGAUAUUCGGAUGAACACCAGUGGCGAAGGCGGCUCACUGGUCCAUUACUGACGCUGAGGCACGAAAGCGUGGGGAGCAAACAGGAUUAGAUACCCCCGUAGUCCCUGUCUCUUAUAC
rnacentral:rRNA from 1 species